rnacentral:rRNA from 1 species
UCCUAGCUGUAAACGAUGAGCACUAGGUUGGAGGCUCCUCCAUAGGCUUCCGACCGAAGCGAAAGUGUUAAGUGCUCCGCCUGGGGAGUAUGGUCGCAAGGCUGAAACUCAAAGGAAUUGGACGGGGGCUCACACAAGCGGUGGAGGAUGUGGCUUAAUUCGAGGAUACGCGAAGAACCUUAUCCUGGUCUUGACAUGUGCGGAUGGGCUGCCUGAAAGG